UAAGGAAUAUUGGUCAAUGGACGCAAGUCUGAACCAGCCAUGCCGCGUGGAGGAUGAAGGUCCUCUGGAUUGUAAACUUCUUUUAUCUGGGACGAAACACUUCUUUUCUAAGAGGCCUGACGGUACCAGAUGAAUAAGCACCGGCUAACUCCGUGCUAGCAGCCGCGGUAAUACGGAGGGUGCAAGCGUUAUCCGGAUUCACUGGGUUUAAAGGGUGCGUAGGUGGGUAUGUAAGUCAGUGGUGAAAUCCCCGAGCUUAACUUGGGAACUGCCAUUGAUACUAUAUAUCUUGAAUACCGUAGAGGUAAGCGGAAUAUGUCAUGUAGCGGUGAAAUGCUUAGAUAUGACAUGGAACACCAAUUGCGAAGGCAGCUUACUAUGCGGUGAUUGACACUGAGGCACGAAAGCGUGGGCAGCAAACA
rnacentral:rRNA from 1 species